rnacentral:lncRNA from 1 species
UUUUUAUAGAGAUAUUUAUGUACUUAGAUAUAGACUAAAUUCACGUCGAAAUAUUUUGAAUCGUGGAUUGUUUUUAUUAUAAUUUUAUUAAAUUAUUUCAAUGAAAAAGUAAAAUUCGAUUUGUAAACAGAUAAAAUAUAUAUAUUAAAAGUAAUCUAUACAUUAGUAGAGAAUAUGGAAAGAGAGAGAGAGAGAGAGCGGAAGAAAUUUGCCUCUAGGGUACUAAUGCAUAGAGAUAAUGCAAUUGUCACAUCGAUUCUCCAUGAAAAUGAGUUCUACAAUGUUUUCGAACAAAGAAGAGCCGCGGCUCCACCCAUUUAUAUAAAUAUGAAACAUCUCGUUCAUGCUGAAACAGAAAAAAAAGGUUGAAUCAGAUGAUAAAAUAUGAUUUCUUACAGCUUGACAUGUCGUAAAAGUUAAAUAAUUCCCAUAUCCAAAAAUGUGUGCUAUUGACAGUGGCGCCAGACUGAGAAAGUUGUGCAAGGCAGUGAGGCUAUCAGCAUCUAAAACAGUACUCGGCAUCAUGUGCAAAUGUCACGACAGAACAAUCGCAUUCAGCUGUGUACCAUGUAGUGCAGAGAAUGAAAUCGAUAAUCGAUAGUGAUGAGGGCACAUCGAACAGCUAUGUUAACGUGUUGAAGGGCAGAUCUGCUCUAUAAAUUCCGAAACAAUAGGACCCUAAUGGAAAUUUCUCCCUGGCUGUUCUCUUAUAUGUUCAUCUUAAUGUACUAAAUAAAUCCAGAAUCGCACACUUGGGCUUAAACAACUUACACAACUUUAUAUAUAUUCUCCAACUUAAAUAUUGCGCUGUUAGUUAGAGCAUAAAAACUUAACCGAACUGAUUUUAAUUUUCGUGCCAACUGCAAGCAUAGAUGUAGAGAGUGUUCUUUAAUUUAAUGGAUUAAAAACGCCGUCGAGUUAUUAUUUUUUCCAUUUUUUUGAUUAGACUUUGCAGUAGCUCUUAGUUUUAAGCGUAAAAAAUGUCAGUUAGAAACUAUAUUAGUCUAAUUUACUCCGCAGUGCAGCUGACGUUUCUUAAUUACAUUGAUGCAAUUGCCUGGGCGAUCACUCCUAUCAUCCGUGGCACAUCCGACAGUUGGCACAGGCAUAACAAUCAAUUCAUACCCAAUAUAAACGUUAACUUAACCAUGACGAAAAGGCAGGUGAUACUCGGAUGUCGAAUGCAGAAAAUGGCAACAAAUUGUCUUCUCUUUUUUUUUUCCAGAAUAAAUAUUACGAAUUUAAUUUUUAUUUAAAUAAAAAAAAGAGAAGAUCACGUGCGAUUGAAAGAUACAAUAGAUAAACGAAUAGAAUUCUCUUAAAUUAAAUUACCUAACAAUUUCCCUAAAAGGAAAUUAUUUACCGACUCCAAAUUUGUUUUCCA